rnacentral:rRNA from 1 species
UACGGAGGGUGCGAGCGUUAUCCGGAAUUACUGGGUUUAAAGGGUGCGUAGGCGGCCAAGUAAGUCAGGAGUGAAAGUUUGCGGCUCAACCGUAAAAUUGCUUUUGAUACUGCUAGGCUAGAAUUAGGAUGAGGUCAGCGGAAUGUGGCAUGUAGCGGUGAAAUGCAUAGAUAUGCCAUAGAACACCAAUUGCGAAGGCAGCUGGCUAGACCUGGAUUGACGCUGAGGCACGAAAGCGUGGGGAUCGAACAGG